rnacentral:ncRNA from 2 species
UCAAUCAGUCUAAUGCCAGUUGCCUUUUAGGAAAGGCACAGGGAACCAGGUGAGAAUCCUGGACGGUCCGGCCACUGUAAAUGGGCAGCCAACUCCCGAUAAGCCACUGGGAAUAUUCCCGGGAAGGCGGAGUAUGGCGCUAUUUCCCAUAAGUCAGGAGACCUGGCUGGCAUUAUCCAAAACG